CAAUAGCGUAUAUUAAAGUUGUUGCAGUUAAAAAGCUCGUAGUUGGAUCUCGGGAGCAGGCCGGCGGUCCGCCUCGCGGCGGUUACUGCCUGUCCUGCCCUACCUGCCGGUUUUCCCCCGGUGCUCUUCAUUGAGUGCCUCGGGUGGCCGGAACGUUUACUUUGAAAAAAUUAGAGUGUUCAAAGCAGGCAUUUCGCCUGAAUAAUGGUGCAUGGAAUAAUGGAAUAGGACCUCGGUUCUAUUUUGUUGGUUUUCGGAACUUGAGGUAAUGAUUAAGAGGGACAGACGGGGGCAUUCGUAUUACACUGUUAGAGGUGAAAUUCUUGGAUCGGUGUAAGACGAACUACUGCGAAAGCAUUUGCCAAGAAUGUUUUCAUUAAUCAAGAACGAAAGUCAGAGGUU
rnacentral:rRNA from 1 species